rnacentral:rRNA from 1 species
CCUACGGGUGGCAGCAGUGAGGAAUAUUGGUCAAUGGACGCAAGUCUGAACCAGCCAUGCCGCGUGCAGGAUGACGGCUCUAUGAGUUGUAAACUGCUUUUGUACGAGGGUAAACGCAGAUACGCGUAUCUGUCUGAAAGUAUCGUACGAUUAAGGAUCGGCUAACUCCGUGACAUCAGCCGCGGUAAUACGGAGGAUUCAAGCGUUAUCCGGAUUUAGUGGGUUUAAAGGGUGUGUAGGCGGGCGGAUAAGUUAGAGGUGAAAUCCCGGGGCUCAACUUCGGAAUUGCCUCUGAUACUGUUCGGCUAGAGAGUGGUUGCGGUAGGCGGAAUGUAAGGUGUAGCAGUGAAAUGCGUAGAGAUGAUACAGAACACCGAUGGCGAAGGCAGCUUACUAAGACACUUCUGACGUUGAGGCACGAAAGCGUGGGGAGCAAACAGGAUUAGAUACCCGGGUAGUC